UCUGCUUCCCCGUGUAAGAACCUAUUUAUCACUCGAUUAAGAAACAAAACAAACAAUAAAAAUAAAAUAGCUCAGUAAUUAAAAAUGUGGGUUGCCUCUCACGUAGCGCUUCGUUUAACAUCACAUGGCUCGACGGUUCACCACACUAACCGUUGAGACGAACAUCCUCUACCAGGUCAAUUCCUUGUCCUUGGUGAUAAGGCUUCACUCUCUACCCAUUGACUUUAAAAGUG
rnacentral:lncRNA from 1 species